UAAUCAUAUAAAUAAGACAACAUGCAUCAGAUUACUCAUGUGACCAUACAAAAGUGGACUGAAAACAAAACCGGAUUAAAACACACAACCUAAGCAUGUUAAUUUCUAGACCUGACUCGUCCGGACUUUAAAAUGAUAGUUGGGCUAUGGCGAGUCUUGCACCCGUGGUGACUUAUGAAACUUGGGUUCCCCACCUUGCCACACUCACAAGGUUAGUCCGUUCCGGGCCUUGAGGCAUACUGGGAGCCCCCAAGACUAAGGACCUCCUGCUACUCCUCACCACAUGGUUCAACCUCUCUAAGUGAGUAUGAUUGACCAUUGGAGCGUCAGAAUGACUCCCAAGGCUGAGCCCCUACUUUCAUUUUAAAACACUAAGGGCACCACCAUGAAUCCUCGCCUUGAGGAUCAUGGAAUUACGUCCAUGAACCAUGUUUGUUGCACUUAACAUCAAUUCAUAACCUUUAUGAUCACAUACUUUCAAGUUAACAACAUCACCUCAGUCAUAAUUUACAUUGUAAUCAUUCCACAUUCAUUUCCAAACAAUAACAGAUCCAAAAGAACCACUAAACAACACAAAACCCAGUGAACUCAUACUUAGACAUGGAAAAUGACUUUUAAACCAUCACCAAUAGUUCCGGAAGGGUCAAAAACCCCCAGAACGACCUAAGGAACGUCCAAAAAUGAUACGUAGAACCCCGAAAACCACCUAAAAUUGUCCUGGAUGAUUUUGUGACAACAAAAAUCGAUUAUUACACAUCAUAAUCGAUUAUUACAUAUGAUAAUCGAUUAUUUACGAGAACUCUGAAGAAAAUAUGACAUUUUGACUAGAAUAAUCGAUUAUCAAGUGAGAUAAUCGAUUAUUCUUAUCAAUUUUUGACAGCAGCCUGAUUUUUCUGGUUUUGGUACCUCUUAGACAUAUCCACUUGUUCAAUUUGAAUUCUGCAACACUAAUAUUGACAUGAAACAUGUUUAACCAAUUUAAACUAUUCCUAUAGUGAUUCUAAGCUGACCUAGGUGUGAAUUUAACUCUAAAACAUUCAUUCCUAAGACUUAGGAGUCCUACUUCAAUUCUUCCAUUUUAAGGGGUUCUAGUUCAAUUUUAUAUGCUAAUUAGGUCCAGAUUAACUUACCUUAACUGCCUAGACAGANCAUACAUAACCCCCACCAUAGAUGCCCAAAAUUACCAUGUCACUUUCCCUUUUCCAACUCAAUUUCAACCCAAAUUCUCUACUGGUUAUCUAAUUUAUCUUAAGGCUCUAUCUCUCUCCNAACCUUCUUGUACCCCAAUUGGUCACCGGAGAGGGAACAAAUGUCCAACGCAUCGGACUCACCUUCGACACCAACACAUAUGACUAGUCACAACUGACUGGACCAGGCCAGGGCUGCUCUAUGAUCAGGGAUGUGCGGCUCUGGUUUUUAGGUUCCCUCUAUCCUACCAACAAAGAAGGCUCCUAAACAGGUUCAAUUAACUUACUGAAAUUCCUCCAGUUGCUCUACGAUGUUCUAGACAUCUACCACCCGAAAUUCAGUACCUUACUUCCCCUCACAGAUCCUAAAACUAUACACAACCCAUGUCCCCUCAUCAGAUCAUCAAUACAAUAGAAUUUCCAGCAACUCAAAACACACUUUAGCAUAUUCAGGUCCAACAUUCAGCCCA
rnacentral:lncRNA from 1 species